rnacentral:rRNA from 1 species
AUACGGAGGAUCCGAGCGUUAUCCGGAUUUAUUGGGUUUAAAGGGUGCGCAGGCGGCCAUUUAAGUCAGCGGUUAAAUCGUGGGGCUCAACCCCAUUCUGCCGUUGAUACUGGGUGGCUUGAUUGCGGUCGAGGUUGGCGGAAUUCGUUGUGUAGCGGUGAAAUGCAUAGAUAUGACGAAGAACACCGAUUGCGUAGGCAGCUGACCAGACCGUAAAUGACGCUCAUGCACGAAAGUGCGGGGAUCGAACAGGAUUAGAUACCCUGGUAGUCCGCACAGUAAACGAUGAAUACUUGUUUUCGGCGAUAUAAUGUCGGAGGCAAAGCGAAAGCGAUAAGUAUUCCACCUGGGGAGUACGCCGGCAACGGUGAAACUCAAAUGAAUUGGCGGGG